rnacentral:rRNA from 1 species
GGGGAAUAUUGCACAAUGGGCGCAAGCCUGAUGCAGCGACGCCGCGUGAGGGAUGAAGGCCUUCGGGUUGUAAACCUCUUUCAGCAGGGAAGAAGCGCAAGUGACGGUACCUGCAGAAGAAGCGCCGGCUAACUACGUGCCAGCAGCCGCGGUAAUACGUAGGGCGCAAGCGUUGUCCGGAAUUAUUGGGCGUAAAGAGCUCGUAGGCGGUUUGUCGCGUCUGGUGUGAAAACUCAAGGCUCAACCUUGAGCUUGCAUCGGGUACGGGCAGACUAGAGUGCGGUAGGGGUGACUGGAAUUCCUGGUGUAGCGGUGGAAUGCGCAGAUAUCAGGAGGAACACCGAUGGCGAAGGCAGGUCACUGGGCCGCAACUGACGCUGAGGAGCGAAAGCAUGGGGAGCGAACAGGAUUAGAUACCCUGGUAGUCCAUGCCGUAAACGUUGGGCACUAGGUGUGGGGCUCAUUCCANGAGUUCCGUGCCGCAGCAAACGCAU